rnacentral:rRNA from 1 species
UUCCGUAGGUGAACCUGCGGAAGGAUCAUUAACACACGUUAAAUCCCUCACCGUUAACCUGUCCCUAAGUCCCGCGACCGUCUGGGCUCGUCGGGCCCCCACGUCCUCUGGGCGUGGGGCUAUUUUUUUCAAACCAAACACCAACACUGAACAACUUCUGUGAGUCGUUUACGCGGCGACACAGUACCAAUCCAUUAUCCUCUGUACGAUGGAUCUCUUGGCUCUCGCGACGAUGAAGAGCGCAGCGAAAUGCGAUACGUAACGUGAAUUGCAGGAUCAAGUGAACCGUCAAGUUCUUGAACGCAAAUGGCGCCCUUUACAAUUGCGUGAAGGGCAUGCCUGGAUCAGUCUUACUCCAAACCCCUCAACCACACCCUCGGGUGAGGUUGGAUAAUGGGCGUCACGAAACCGGACCGGCUACGUGUCGCUUUAAGAUGAGGUCUACUGACUAGCGCAGACCCCCUUACGGGUGUGCUGCUGAGCACAGUCUCGGUUGGUCUUCGGAUUGACUGAUUUUGAGUUCGCGGUACUUUGGUUUGUGAUGGGAAGUUCCCCCUCUAUUAAUCUCAAGCUGAUCUCAGGUAAGAAUACCCGCUGAAUUUAAGCAUAUCA